rnacentral:rRNA from 1 species
GACGAACGCUGGCGGCGUGCUUAACACAUGCAAGUCGAACGAUGAUGCGGUGCUUGCACCGUGGAUUAGUGGCGAACGGGUGAGUAACACGUGAGUAACCUGCCCUUCACUCUGGGAUAAGCGCUGGAAACGGUGUCUAAUACUGGAUAUUUAGGCUCUGCUGCAUGGUGGGGUUUGGAAAGAUUUUUUGGUGGAGGAUGGGCUCGCGGCCUAUCAGUUUGUUGGUGGGGUGAUGGCCUACCAAGACGACGACGGGUAGCCGGCCUGAGAGGGUGACCGGCCACACUGGGACUGAGACACGGCCCAGACUCCUACGGGAGGCAGCAGUGGGGAAUAUUGGACAAUGGGCGAAAGCCUGAUCCAGCAACGCCGCGUGAGGGAUGACGGCCUUCGGGUUGUAAACCUCUUUCAGCGCAGACGAAGCGAAAGUGACGGUAUGCGCAGAAGAAGGACCGGCCAACUACGUGCCAGCAGCCGCCGUAAUAC